GACGAACGCUGGCGGCGUGCUUAACACAUGCAAGUCGAACGGAAAGGCCCUGCUUUUGUGGGGUGCUCGAGUGGCGAACGGGUGAGUAACACGUGAGUAACCUGCCCUUGACUUUGGGAUAACUUCAGGAAACUGGGGCUAAUACCGGAUAGGAGCUCCUGCUGCAUGGUGGGGGUUGGAAAGUUUCGGCGGUUGGGGAUGGACUCGCGGCUUAUCAGCUUGUUGGAGGGGUAGUGUCUUACCAAGGCUUUGACGGGUAGCCGGCCUGAGAGGGUGACCGGCCACAUUGGGACUGAGAUACGGCCCAGACUCCUACGGGAGGCAGCAGUGGGGAAUAUUGCACAAUGGGCGGAAGCCUGAUGCAGCAACGCCGCGUGCGGGAUGACGGCCUUCGGGUUGUAAACCGCUUUCGCCUGUGACGAAGCGUGAGUGACGGUAAUGGGUAAAGAAGCACCGGCUAACUACGUG
rnacentral:rRNA from 1 species